UUCAAAAAAGAAAAAAAAUGCAUUUCUUUUUAUUUAAAAAUCACAUAAUUAUCAAGAACGAAAUCUCGAAUGAUCGAUAAUUAUCGUAAAAAUCAUAUUUUAUAUUCCAAUGAGUAAACGUCAUAUUAAAUAAUUUAAAUAUUUUCACAUAUUGUAUAUUCAUUCAAACGUAAAACGUAUCAAAUAUAAAAUAAUUUUAAUUCCAUACACGUAUCAAUAAUAAUUUUAUAUUUCGAGUAUGCGAUCAUUGUUUACAAUCGAUAUCAACAAAGAACGAACGCUCAAUUGACUUUGUUAGUACUUAGGUUAGUUUUCUAUUACACUUCGACGAGUGAACAUCGAAGCUCUCUCUUUUCGUACGGCUAAUCUUAAAUAAUUAAUAUUUUCGAUUAAUUUAUAAUUAUUUAAACGAUAUACGAUGUACGUAGAAUAUAAUGAAUUAAUAUUUAAGCAAAUAAUUUAUUUAUUUAAACGAUAGAUAACCUGUGACACGGGUUAAAUAUAAACUAAUUUUAAUGUAAUAUUUGAAUAAACAUACAUUUUGAAAGUCAUUGCUUGUAUAUAACGUGGAAUAAAAACGAAACGUUCAAUUGACUUUAACCAGUUAUCGAAUUAGUUUUCUUUUUAGAUUUCAAUGAAUGAACGUCGUAAUUUUCUUCUCGUUUCUGACAUUUGAAUAAAGCUCAAACAAUUUAACAUUUAAAUUAUUUUACAUUAAUUUACUUUUAAUUCCUCUCGAUCAUAAUCUUGGAACAAUGUCGGUGAGGAUUUAAUAAGAAGAACGAAAUCGAGUGUUUGUACCGUUAAAAAAAAAAAUAUAUAUAAAAACAAAAAAAAAAGUCACAAAGUAGAAGUCAAUAAUCUGUUCGUAUUGUUUAAUCGCAAAUUAAACGAUAAAUAUUUUUGCAUCGAUUGCGUGCGAUGAGAUCGCGUUAGAAUCAAUUUUCGUUAGCAUCCAUUGAAGAAGAUAUAUCUCUGUCAACUUCGACAUUUCAUUUUCAACCAGCUACGAAAUAAAUCCCCAAUCAGAAUAUUGAUCAUAAAUCGUGGACGAUUGUUUGUCGACUGUCAUCGUAGAACUUCUUAAGUAGUAAGUAGUAAAUUUUUUUUUUUUCAAGUAUGUUCUCCGAUCAUAACCUCAAUCAUUUUUUUUUUCAAGUAUAUCUCCGAUCAUAACCUCAAUCAUUUUUUUUUUUUUCAAGUAUGUUCUCCGAUCAUAAC